GGAGAGAUGGCUCAGUGGUUAAAAGCACUGGCUGCUCUUCCAAUAGACCUGGGUUCAAGUUCUAGCAUCUCCA
rnacentral:tRNA from 1 species